rnacentral:tRNA from 1 species
AAGAUUUUAAGUUAAAAAAACUAUUAACCUUCAAAGUUAAAUAUAAUAAAAUAUAAUAUAUU